rnacentral:rRNA from 1 species
UAGCUAGUUGGUGAGGUAAAGGCUUACCAAGGUGACGAUCUGUAGCGGGUCUGAGAGGAUGAUCCGCCACACUGGAACUGAGACACGGUCCAGACUCCUACGGGAGGCAGCAGUGGGGAAUUUUGGACAAUGGGGGCAACCCUGAUCCAGCCAUGCCGCGUGAGUGAAGAAGGCCUUCGGGUUGUAAAGCUCUUUCGGCCGGGAAGAAAUCGCAUGGGCCAAUACCCUGUGUGGAUGACGGUACCGGAAUAAGAAGCACCGGCUAACUACGUGCCAGCAGCCGCGGUAAUACGUAGGGUGCGAGCGUUAAUCGGAAUUACUGGGCGUAAAGCGUGCGCAGGCGGUUUUGUAAGACAGGCGUGAAAUCCCCGGGCUUAACCUGGGAACUGCGUUUGUGACUGCAAGGCUAGAGUACGGCAGAGGGGGGUGGAAUUCCACGUGUAGCAGUGAAAUGCGUAGAGAUGUGGAGGAACACCAAUGGCGUAGGCAGCCCCCUGGGUCGAUACUGACGCUCAUGCACGAAAGCGUGGGUAGCAAACAGGAUUAGAUACCCUGGUAGUCCACGCCCUAAACUAUGUCAACUAGGUGUUGGGUGGGUAAAACCAUUUAGUACCGUAGCUAACGCGUGAAGUUGACCGCCUGGGGAGUACGGCCGCAAGGUUAAAACUCAAAGGAAUUGACGGGGACCCGCACAAGCGGUGGAUGAUGUGGAUUAAUUCGAUGCAACGCGAAAAACCUUACCUACCCUUGACAUGCCAGGAACUUGCCAGAGAUGGCUUGGUGCCCGAAAGGGAGCCUGGACACAGGUGCUGCAUGGCUGUCGUCAGCUCGUGUCGUGAGAUGUUGGGUUAAGUCCCGCAACGAGCGCAACCCUUGUCGUUAAUUGCCAUCAUUUGGUUGGGCACUUUAACGAGACUGCCGGUGACAAACCGGAGGAAGGUGGGGAUGACGUCAAGUCCUCAUGGCCCUUAUGGGUAGGGCUUCACACGUCAUACAAUGGUCGGUACAAAGGGUUGCCAAGCCGCGAGGCGGAGCCAAUCCCAGAAAGCCGAUCGUAGUCCGGAUUGCAGGCUGCAACUCGCCUGCAUGAAGUCGGAAUCGCUAGUAAUCGUGGAUCUGCAUGUCACGGUGAAUACGUUCCCGGGUCUUGUACACACCGCCCGUCACACCAUGGGAGCGGGUUCCGCCAGAAGUAGGUAGCCUAACCGCAAGGGGGGCGCUUACCACGGCGGGGUUCGUGACUGGGGUGAAGUCGUAACAAGGUAGCCGUAGGGGAACCUGCGGCUG